rnacentral:rRNA from 1 species
CAAAUGUUCUUCGUGAACAUGGCAGACUGCUCAGUAACACGUGGAUAACCUACCCUAAGGACAGGAAUAACCCCGGGAAACUGGGGAUAAUACCUGAUAAAUUAGAGAUGCUGGAAUGCCCUCUAAUUCAAAGGUCCGCCGCCUUAGGAUGGAUCUGCGGCUCAUCAGGUAGUAGUGGGUGUAACGUACCUACUAGCCUACGACGAGUACGGGUUGUGAGAGCAAGAGCCCGGAGAUGGAUUCUGAGACACGAAUCCAGGCCCUACGGGGUGCAGCAGGCGCGAACACUUUACAAUGCGGGAAACCGCGAUAAGGGAACCCCGAGUGCCAGCAUCAAAUGUUGGCUGUCCAGAUGAUUAAAAAUCAUUUGUUAGCAAGGGCCGGGCAAGACCGGUGCCAGCCGCCGCGGUAACACCGGCGGCCCGAGUGGUAGCCGUUUUUAUUGGGUCUAAAGGGUCCGUAGCCGGCCUGAUAAGUCCUUUGGGAAAUCUGGCAGCUUAACUGUCAGGCUUCUAAGGGAUACUGUCAGGCUUGGGACCGGAAGAGGUAAGGGGUACUCCAGGGGUAGGAGUGAAAUCUUGUAAUCCCUGGGGGACCAUCUGUGGCGAAGGCGCCUUACCAGAACGGGUCCGACGGUGAGGGACGAAAGCUAGGGGAGCAAACCGGAUUAGAUACCCGGGUAGUCCUAGCUGUAAACGAUGCUCGCUAGGUGUCAGACACGGUGCGACCGUGUUUGGUGCCGCACGGAAGCCGUUAAGCG